rnacentral:rRNA from 1 species
GACGGAAGGUGCAAGCGUUGCUCGGAAUCACUGGGCGUAAAGGGUGCGUAGGCGGCCGUGCAAGUCUGGCGUGAAAGCCCCGGGCUCAGCCCGGGAAGUGCGCUCGAAACUGCGCGGCUCGAGUGCCGGAGGGGAGAGUGGAAUUCCUGGUGUAGCGGUGAAAUGCGUAGAUAUUGGGAGGAACACCAGUGGCGAAGGCGGCUCACUGGACCGGUACUGACGCUGAUGCGCGAAAGCGUGGGGAGCAAACGGG